rnacentral:rRNA from 1 species
GACGAGCGCUGGCGGCGUGCUUAACACAUGCAAGUCGAACGGAAAGGCCCUGCUUUUGUGGGGUGCUCGAGUGGCGAACGGGUGAGUAACACGUGAGUAACCUGCCCUUGACUUUGGGAUAACUUCAGGAAACUGGGGCUAAUACCGGAUAGGAGCUCCUGCUGCAUGGUGGGGGUUGGAAAGUUUCGGCGGUUGGGGAUGGACUCGCGGCUUAUCAGCUUGUUGGUGGGGUAGUGGCUUACCAAGGCUUUGACGGGUAGCCGGCCUGAGAGGGUGACCGGGGAAAAUGGGACUGAGAGACGGAGCAGAGUCGUACGGGAGGCAGCAGGGGGGAAUAUUGCACAAUGGGCGGAAGCCUGAUGAAGCAACGCCGCGUGCGGGAUGACGGCCUGCGGGUUGUAAACCGCUUUAGCCUGUGACGAAGCGGGAGUGACGGUAAUGGGUAAAGAAGCACCGGCUAACUACGUG